GGAACACCUCCAGGGAUGGUGACUCUACCACCUCCAUGGGCAGCCUGUGCCAGCACCACUCUUACAGACAAGAAAUUCUUCCUAAAAUCCAACCUGAACCUCCCCUCGUGCCACUUGAUGCCACUACCCUUCAUCCUAUUCUUGGAGAAGGAGAAACUGCUUACAAACUGACAUCAACAACUAAAAAAACCCAGAAACAGAAAAUGAAUUAAAGAAAUAUCUUUUCAGAUUUAUAACAUUUUAAAUCCUCCGUUUUAUUUUACAACAGUAUUGUGAAGAAGUGUUCCUAUAUAUUUUCUCUUGGAGAACUAAAUAUGAUUAUCCUUCUCUCCCUUUUGACUUUCCAUUUGGUGGGCUGAGGAUUGCUGCAGCUUCACUCAGCAUGUUUUGAUACAGCUGGAUGAGGAAUCAUGUGGACUUAUUUUUCCUUCUUGAUUCAACCACUCCCAUGACAUCGGCUUCUCUUUACAUGUCUCCUCACCUGAUUCAGUUGUCCCAGCAGACUAAUCAUCCCUUCCUUACUUCACAUUUACGUUCAGCUCAGGAGUUCUCCUCCUCCAUUUCAUUCAAAGAGCUCAAAUACAAGGUCAUAAUCAGAUUCCAGGCAAUGUCAUCCAAGCAUGCUUCUAGUCACUUGCAGUUCUCAGGAUGACUACAUGAGCCUUUGUUUGCAACUUUAUUCUCUCCUAAUCUAUAUCAUAGAAUGCUUAGAGUUGGAAGGGACCUUUAAAAGUCUUCUAGUCCAACUCCCCUGCAAUGAACUGGGACAUCCACAGCU
ensembl:lncRNA